ACAUGACCUCAUCGUCGGUGACUGCAGAGGUAGUGUGGGAGAAGCGUGUUUGAUCUGAAUCUGAUGAGACUUGCAUAUGGAGAUUUAAGUUGAGGUGUCUUGCAUGUGAUUACUUUUGUAGGGACAGACAGGAAUAUAUGGUUAGUAUUUCGAAAUCAUAUGGUCUCCGGUUACCUCAUGGUUCGAGACAGCACAGAUAGUGUGGGAGGAUGGUGUUUGAUCUGAAUCAGAUAGGACUUGCGUGUGGAGAUUGAAGUUGAGGUUUCUUAUGUGUGAUUUCUUUUGAAGGGAGAAAAAUGAAUAUAUAGUGAGUACUUCAUAAUUCGAUUGCCUCCCAUGACCUCAUGAUUGGAGACUGCACAGGUAGUGUCGGAGAAGUGUGUUUGAACUGUAUCAGAUGAGACUUGUGUGUGGAGAUUUAAGUUGAAGUUUUGUGCAUGUGAUUUCUUUUGAAGGGACAAAAACCAAAUUGUAGUGUGUACUUCAAAAUUCCAUUGCUUCCCAUGACCUCACAGUUGGAGACUGCACAGAUAGUGUGGGAGGAGCGUGUUUGACCUGAAUCAGAUUAGACGUGCGUGUGAAGAUUUAAGUUGAUGUUUCUUGCAUGUGAUUUCUUUUGAAGAGACAAGCUCGAAUAUAUGGUGGGUACUUCAAAAUUCCAUUGUCUCUGGUGACCUCAUGGUGGGACACAGAUAGUGUGGGAGGAACAUGUUUGAUCCGAUCAGAUGAGACUUGCGUGUGGAGCGUUAAGUUGAGGGUUCUUGCAUGUGAUUCCUUUUGAAGGAACAAACACGAAUAUAUGGUUAGUACUUCGAAAUUCCACUGUCAUUGGCAGACCUUGUGGUCGCUGGUUGCAGAGACAACUUGGAGAAAGCAUACUUGAUCCGAAUUCAGUCGAGGUUGGCAGGUGUAAUCUUAACUUGCAUUCCUAAGCAUGUGACUUGAUUAACUGGCUCAGGAAUUUUUCUUUUGGAGUUGAAAUAUUUGACUGUGCCAUUCAUUUAUUUCCUGUAGAUUAGAAGUAGGUAAGCGCGUAAGAAAGGAAUUGCCCGGGUUGUUACUGUGUCAGAGUAAAUGUACUUUUAUUAUUUGUGUAAAGGGGUAAUGAACUACAAAAUUUCGGGAGAAUGUGUGUGAAAGUUCUGUAUGACCACAUUUCUGUUUUGCUAUUCUUUACUGCUUCAAACUCUUAAGGAUUUAGAGGACAUCCAGUGUGUGGUGGAACUAUACAGAUAGAUGAUAGACAGCCUGCUAUUAUCUUAAUGUCACGUGAGCCAGUGAGGUUAUUUAAAUUGAAGCUCCUUCUAGAGGCUUAUGAAUGUCGUAGGUAGUUACAGUGUGCAGAUACACCACUGUGUGUAUUGAAAGUAUAAGUGAUAUGCAUUAGUGGAUACCAAUGUAAGUAAUUAGAUGUGAAACCUCAGGAUCUUCACACAUGAUAAGUUUACAGUCAGUAUAAUAAAAGUGAUAGUACUUGGCGAGACUUAGUUGUGGCAAGAGGUCAUUUUCAUUUCGUGUAUUGUGUUAAGUGUCUGUUAAUUUUAUGGACGUUAUGAAGCUGAAACCGUAUUUAAUUUUAAAUACCUUAACCAUAUGAGCUACAGAACUGUCAUUUAUGAUCUGUCAGAGUACAGUAGUAGAAGCCAGAGUGAUCAGUAUUUAAAUGGGGACUUCCAACAGUGUAAUUGUGAGUUCAUUGAAAUUGUUUACUUCAUUGUUUUGAGCAGGUUGGGGUAAAAGGCCGUUUCUUUACUUCCAUUCAUAAUAUGCCAAAAGCAAACAAUACACACAGGUGUAAUGUGUUGUGAUGCAGCAGACAGAACAGUUAGUGAUGCAUCUCAGAUUUCUUGUGUUUUGGGAAAUAAAUAGCACAAAUACGAACAGCACGUGACUGGGUCAAAAUCAAGGUUACCAACACUUUUCCUAGAACAAGUUUAAUAGAUACAGUGUAGUGGGACCCGCCUAUUGGUGAACAUUGGCAGUGAAACAGUGUGAACAUCACAUGACACGUUUGAAUUGCACAGUGAAUGUCUACAUGGAAUAUCUUGAGCAUUUACAGAAUAUUGUUUUUGUGGGGAUGCAGGCUGGGAGUGUGUUCCAUGAAAAAUGAAGUACAUCAUUCUUGAAAAUUUCUCGGGUAUUCAGCCAGGUAGCAUCAUCCAAAAGGCGCAAUAGUUCAGCAAGCCGACUUCUUGCCAUCUAAAGGAGUUCUUGGUGAACUAUUGCUUGCUGAACUAUUGCACCUUUUGGAUGAUGCUACCUGGCUGAAUACCCGAGAAAUAUUCAAGAUUUCUGUACGCCGGGAAAACCUUAGAUCAUACAACAUUCUUAUCAUAUUGUGACACAUUGUGAAAGCAUCAGUUUUAAAAUGUCGAAGAAAACACUAGAUGUGAUGUGAUGUGAUGUGAUGUGAUGUGAUGUGAUUUGGUUUGUUCUUCAUGUGACAGUAUAUUGACUGUUUGUAACAGGAGACACAUUUUUUAGUCUUGUGGAAGUGUGUGAAAAAAUUUGCUUUUACCACAGGCAAGAAAACAUUGUGAAUGAAAUGUGGAUGACCCAAAUGUUUCAGUACACAAUAUAAUAUGAGUUAAUGUUAGCUUGAUGCAAAGGUACUGUCUCCUACUCUAUGAUGGACACAAAUUUAAUGUGUUGUGUAUCAGAGUCAAAAUUUCGUUGUGGUGACUUAAGUGCAUUUCGUGUGGUGUGAUAGCCAGUGUGGUUAGAGGCUGAGGCAGUUAAUAUGUAUUUGAGGUAAGGCUUUAAGCAUGUGAGCAGAACAUAUAGUAGCAUCUGCUAUAUACAUUUGACACCCACCUGUCAGAAGAAUGAGUGUUUUUGCACAGAGUUUGAUGUAUUGAAGAUGUGACAGUCAUGUUAUUGGUCAUGAGGAGCUGAAGUUGCUGUAAUUGUGUUCAGUAAUACAAUAUGCAUUGGAAGACAAUGAUGAAAAUAAUGAUUGAUGUGACACAUAGUGGCAAUGAUGUGCAGUUCUUAUAAAUUUAAGUGCAAGAUUUUGUCAGUGAGACGGGGUGAUUGGGAAACAUUGCUACAGUAUUUCAGCUACAGUGUAUCAUAACUGAUUAUUGAAAUUGUGAUAAUUCAGCCUGUCACCAGAUACUACAGUGUGUACAUGUCCACUCAUAUUGACUGCUGUAACUAUGCUGCCACUUGCCUUUGGUUACUGUAACAUGGUUCUCAAGUCUGAUUCCAUCUCGAUUCCCACUUACUGUGUAAUGCCAUGUUGCACACUUGCCAUGCAUGAAAGGACGUUAGGAACUUUUUGGCAUAUCACUUGUUAAUCGUACAAGGCUUUGCCCAAAAAGGCAGAUCAGCAUAUUAUUUGUGUAAUGGUUAUUUCAAAAGCAGUUUUAUUAUGCUUGUGGCUGUUGUAUUGCAUUAGUGUGCACCUUCUUUGCAUGUUUCAGGUGUGAGGCUACCUGGAGCUGACAAUGUGCAACUUUGAGGUUACCUAACAGCACUGAAUUUUAUUCAAUAUCGGCAUCGAGUUGUUGGUGCUCCUGUAAUAAAUACUGCUGUUGUUGUCAACAUUCUUAUAUUAUGUCUAUAUGAGCCAAACAAGGUGGAAUUUAAAGAGCAUAUGAGAAUACAGACCAAAUUGAGUGUCAUUUGAAAAGCAUGUAAUCUUCCACAGUAGUUUCAACACUGCACUAAAAUAUUGUUGCACUGUAAAAUAACAGUGACAUUAUAACAAGAAAAAUUAACUAAACAGAAGUUUGAAGUGAUGAAAUAGCUUCACAUAUCAGAAAAUAAUGUAAUUGUGUUCAAAUUGAAGUCCUUGGCAUAUAAGAUUUUUUUUGAAAAAUAUGUGGAUACAAAGAAUCACAUAACAUCUCAAAUGUGGAAUUACUGCUACAUGGCAGAAAGAAAAUAAAAUAACUUGCUGUCAUGAUAAAGGCUUUUUAGGUCAUAACUUUUUUCCUGUGCUCGGCAAAAUCAACUGGCUUAUUCUUGACCUCGAAGAAGAAGAAUGAAAAAUGGUAAAUUGCAGACCUCAUGAUGAGAGAUGACUGUAACAGGUUGUAACUUUUAAGAAAAUUGCUACAUCCCGUGCAACACAUUUUAAUUGUAAGAAUUAAUGAAUGAAGAGAUGCUGAUUUGAACAUUAUGUGAAAAAUUUAGGUUCAUUGGAGCACUUUUUAAGAAGAGGAAUUUGAUUACAAAAAGUUGAAGAACUGAGGUGUCCUUGAAGUUUGUAAAUCACUGUUUUUUCACAUGGCCUGUAUUUUUGGAAGGAAUAGAUGUAGUCUCUUUGAUAUUUUCUACUCCUUUAUUGCACUGCAGUUUGUUAUACUUAUUGAUGCAUUCAAUGUUAGAAAGUAGUUAAUAUUGAUGUGAAUGUAUUUUCAGCAUGAAAAACAUAGCCUACUAUGGACCUGUUCACCUUACCUAAAGGAGGAAAAGGAGGAAAUGCCAUCAAGGAGGGAUAACAGGAGAAAGCUGUGCAUUAAUAAAUUACAGUGAUAUUGUAGUACUUCAGUCAGGAUUUCCUACAUUCUUUAUAGUGAUCCCAAACUGAUCAACAAGCAACAAUUGACAUUCCACACAAUUUCUAAGGGGAUGUUGUAGAGUGCGGAUGCAGUGGGGGAGUGUCUUAGCUGUAGUUGUUGCACUACAGUAAAUGGUUUCCAAUGAACAAGGACGACAGAUGACCGGAAAAAUUUUAUUUGAAAUUCCAGAGUUCAAGGAAGUUCUGCAAUAGUUCCCCAUUGCACACUAACAUGUGGUAUACAUAUGAGGCAUGUGCUAGAAUUCUGAAAACGGAACACAUAGUGGAAUUGUUAACCUUGAUGUGAUGUGGACGAUGCUGGAAGCCGAAGUGAAGAAACCAUCCCUGAAGCUCCUCACAUACCUGGUAACGAGUAUCCUAUCAUCACUGGGAGAAGACGAUGGAGCUUUGUUAACAUGCUAGAAUAUAACCAUGAACUGUUUGACAAAAUAUGAACAUGACUUCCUACUCAUGUUCCCAUGGUUUACAGGAUUUAUUAAGUUAUGUGAGGUCUCUACCAGGUGGUACUACAGUGACGUCAUUGUCACAGAAAGACCGGGAGAUGCUGACAUCUUGCAUAGCAAACUUACUGAGUGCUUGAAAAGAUAUCCUGGAGAAAUUCUCUUCUGGAGAGAAGACGGAGACCACUUCCACGUCAUUCAUGACUGUGUCUAUUCCUCGAGGAGAUGCAGAUGUUGGUUCCGAAAUGAUGCAUUUAUUUCCUCCGGAAUUAAGAAGCUCCACAGACGGAAAAGAGCAAUUGCAGCAAUGUCAGACAUCGACUGGCUCAAUGUACUGUUAUACCUCUAUGUGCAAAAGGGGUAUGGCCGUGGACAAAUUUGGAUUAGAGGAGCCAUUAAAAGACUACCUUAUCCAGCUGAAAUUGUAUGAUGGGAAAGUUGCCUCUCAGGAUACCAAACAAUACUGGAAGGGGAAAGUAGUCGAUCUGAUGGUGACAGCGAACAGAGGCAUGCAAAUAAUGCACCAUGUAAACAGUCUCAUUCGAGACGCAAACAGAUCAUUACAGGAAAAGGGUGCAACCCGACAACAAUCGCGUGCCAGGUUCUUUCCGUAAUAAUUCAGUACAAUUGUAUACCACCUGAGAACAUUACAAAUGUGUUUCCAAUUGAUCAUGGUUACUUCAUGAGUUUUAUUGAUCCUAAAUUUAAAAGAUUUUUUGAUAUGGGAUUAGAGUUAUACAAGAAAACCAUUAACGAUUUAGAUCUUAGGGGAAUUGAAUCACUUUUAUGUUCUGGAUCACAGGAUAGUAUAUUUUAUGCUACCUCUAACAAUGUAUGGGAAUGUUAUACUUUGAGUGAUUCUUUAACCUGGUUAAACAAAAUUCUAUUAUUCCAAUGUGAAGAUGACAAUGAUAAAGCUACAGAAUUUUUGUUAAAUUUAGUUUCAUGGUUCAAUAAGAAUGGAUUGUAUUAGUGGAGUAAUGAUAAUUAUGUACAGUCAAAAAAGUUAAACACUUUGUGUAUUGUGGGUCCUCCAAAUAGUGGUAAAAAUUGGUUCUUUGAUUGCUUUGUAUAUUUCGCUCUUAAUGUUGGUCAUAUAGGUAGAUGUAAUAACAAAACAAAUCAAUUCCCAAUGCAAGAUGCUGUUAAUAGAAGAUUAAUUGUUGGCAAUGAAAUUAGUAUUGAAGAAGGAGCCUUAGAAGAUUUUAAAAAAGUGUGCGAGGGAAUUUCUUGUAACAUUAGAGUGAAGUAUAAAGGCGAUGCAAUUUUAAGGAGGACACCACUUUUAUUAAUUUCAAACAGUCAACCUGUAGUUUGCAGCCACCCUGAUUUUAAGGAUAUUCGUGUGAAAACUGUAAGGUGGCGUAGAUUUGAAGAUUUGAAAAAUGCAACAAAAAAGCCUUAUCCCUUAGCUUUUUUCAGCUUAUUACAAAUGUAUAAUGUGGAAUAUUAAAUGAAAACCAAUUGUAAUUUUGAAAUAGAUAUAUUUUCAAUAACUUGUUUACAAAGGUAAAUAAAAUAUUACAUUAUACAAAAUAAA